GAAAGGUUGUUGCCUUGGUGUGAUUAUCUCCAGUCAUCAAAGAAUAUCUGACAGUGAUGACCAGAAUACCCGCAGGCGAAACACAGCGACCGUGUCAGGUGCGGCGACACCUAGCUUCCUUGUAUGCUAGGUUCUUGUCGAACAAACUGGCCCUUCACCCGGGGCCGCUGCUCUGCAAGUAAUUUUCUGCUCUGGUACCGCACCUGGGCAACAAUGUAAGAAUGUAAACACCAGCUCCUAGUAGGGCGAAACACAGCGACCGUGUCAGGUGCGGCGACACCUAGCUUCCUUGUAUGCUAGGUUCUUGUCGAACAAACUGGCCCUUCACCCGGGGCCGCUGCUCUGCAAGUAAUUUUCUGCUCUGGUACCGCACCUGGGCAACAAUGUAAGAAUGUAAACACCAGCUCCUAGUAGGUGAGAUACAGCGAAUUGGAUUGAGAUGACAAGAUUAUUUAUUAUGC
rnacentral:lncRNA from 1 species